CGUUCUAUGGUGUAAUGGUUAGCACUUCAGACUCUGAUAAUCUGAGUUCAAAUCUCAGUAGGACCU
rnacentral:tRNA from 1 species